GCAUUCCAGGGCUGGGCUAGGGUAGGCAGGCAGCACCGGGCAAACCCACUCCUCCACCCUGCCCCCCGGGGCCUGAGUCACCGUCUGAACAACCAGGGAGUCAUGGGGGUGGAGAAGCAGAGCCCAGAAAGCGGGCUAGCCUGCACGCACGCCAAGAUGGAGCUCCAGGCUAGCCCACAGAACAGCCCAGCCGCAGCCGUCCUACCAGACCAGCACCUUGUAACCACAGUCUAACCCAGCGGGCACCAGGCGAUUGUGAGUGCCACGGGGCUGAGGCCUGCGCCGACCUGGUCUGCUGGUGCUACCAGGCUUGAACAGUCUUCAAAUCCACUGCUAUUAGGCAAAUUACCUGGCUCCCGCUGAACUCCAGCACCUAGAACUAUGUCACACUCGUAGUAGGCCGCUGCAUUGGUUGAACAAAUGAUUUUGAAAGAAUGAAUGUCUUCCUCUGUGCCUGCAUUUCCUCAGAAGGCUGUAACAAAGAUUAAAUAGGAAAAUUCGUGGAAAGUUCAAUUACUACA
rnacentral:lncRNA from 1 species